UACUUACCGCAGAUUAAUGGCCAGUGUUACUGGAAUAAUAGACAUCCAUAUAAAUUCUUUGGAAGUAAAACUCCCUAUGAUUCUGUGAGAGGUGAUUUCAGGGACGUUCCACCGAUCAGAGGUUGUGAGCCAGUUAGCAUAUGGUUCGUGACAAGACAUGGAACCCGAUUUCCCAGCGGAAUGGAUCUACCUGCAAUGAAAGCAACAUCCAACCUAAAAGACGAAAUUAUUAAAAAUUAUAUUGACGGUAAAGGGGAGAUGUGCGCACAGGUAGGUGUAUCUUAUAUAAAUUACCUGUUCAUUUUUUUUUACUUUAUAAAUAUCAAAUAAAAUACUCGAAAGUGGUAAGUGAAUAUAGAGAUUGGAAUAUUUA